AUUGAACGCUGGCGGCAGGCCUAACACAUGCAAGUCGAGCGGAUGAAGGGAGCUUGCUCCUUGGUUCAGCGGCGGACGGGUGGGUAAUGCCUAAGAAACUGCCUUGUAGUGGGGGAUAACGUCCGGAAACGGGCGCUAAUACCGCAUACGUUCUGCGGGAGAAAGUGGGGGAUCUUCGGACCUCGCGCUAUCAGAUUAGCCUAGGUCGGAUUAGCUAGUUGGUGGGGUAAGGGCCUACCAAGGCGACGAUCCGUAACUGGUCUGAGAGGAUGAUCAGUCACACUGGAACUGAGACACGGUCCAGACUCCUACGGGAGGCAGCAGUGGGGAAUAUUGGACAAUGGGCGAAAGCCUGAUCCAGCCAUGCCGCGUGUGUGAAGAAGGUCUUCGGAUUGUAAAGCACUUUAAGUUGGGAGGAAGGGCAGUAAGUUAAUACCUUGCUGUUUUGACGUUACCAACAGAAUAAGCACCGGCUAACUUCGUG
rnacentral:rRNA from 1 species